rnacentral:rRNA from 1 species
GACGAACGCUGGCGGCGUGCUUAACACAUGCAAGUCGAACGGAAAGGCCCUGCUUUUGUGGGGUGCUCGAGUGGCGAACGGGUGAGUAACACGUGAGUAACCUGCCCUUGACUUUGGGAUAACCUCAGGAAACUGGGGCUAAUACCGGAUAGGAGCUCCUGCUGCAUGGUGGGGGUUGGAAAGUUUCGGCGGUUGGGGAUGGACUCGCGGCUUAUCAGCUUGUUGGUGGGGUAGUGGCUUACCAAGGCUUUGACGGGUAGCCGGCCUGAGAGGGUGACCGGCCACAUUGGGACUGAGAUACGGCCCAGACUCCUACGGGAGGCAGCAGUGGGGAAUAUUGCACAAUGGGCGGAAGCCUGAUGCAGCAACGCCGCGUGCGGGAUGACGGCCUUCGGGUUGUAAACCGCUUUCGCCUGUGACGAAGCGUGAGUGACGGUAAUGGGUAAAGAAGCACCGGCUAACUACGUGCCAGCAGCCGCGGUGAUACGUAGGGUGCGAGCGUUGUCCGGAUUUAUUGGGCGUAAAGGGCUCGUAGGUGGUUGAUCGCGUCGGAAGUGUAAUCUUGGGGCUUAACCCUGAGCGUGCUUUCGAUACGGGUUGACUUGAGGAAGGUAGGGGAGAAUGGAAUUCCUGGUGGAGCGGUGGAAUGCGCAGAUAUCAGGAGGAACACCAGUGGCGAAGGCGGUUCUCUGGGCCUUUCCUGACGCUGAGGAGCGAAAGCGUGGGGAGCGAACAGGCUUAGAUACCCUGGUAGUCCACGCUGUAAACGGUGGGUACUAGGUGUGGGGUCCAUUCCACGGGUUCCGUGCCGUAGCUAACGCUUUAAGUACCCCGCCUGGGGAGUACGGCCGCAAGGCUAAAACUCAAAGGAAUUGACGGGGCCCCGCACAAGCGGCGGAGCAUGCGGAUUAAUUCGAUGCAACGCGUAGAACCUUACCUGGGUUUGACAUGGAUCGGGAGUGCUCAGAGAUGGGUGUGCCUCUUUUGGGGUCGGUUCACAGGUGGUGCAUGGCUGUCGUCAGCUCGUGUCGUGAGAUGUUGGGUUAAGUCCCGCAACGAGCGCAACCCUUGUUCACUGUUGCCAGCACGUUAUGGUGGGGACUCAGUGGAGACCGCCGGGGUCAACUCGGAGGAAGGUGGGGAUGACGUCAAGUCAUCAUGCCCCUUAUGUCCAGGGCUUCACGCAUGCUACGAUGGCUGGUACAGAGAGUGGCGAGCCUGUGAGGGUGAGCGAAUCUCGGAAAGCCGGUCUCAGUUCGGAUUGGGGUCUGCAACUCGACCUCAUGAAGUCGGAGUCGCUAGUAAUCGCAGAUCAGCAACGCUGCGGUGAAUACGUUCCCGGGGCU